ensembl:miRNA mir-800 ncRNA
GCCAAACUCGGAAAUUGUCUGC